UACGUAGGGGGCUAGCGUUGUCCGGAAUCAUUGGGCGUAAAGAGCGUGUAGGCGGCCCGGUAAGUCCGCUGUGAAAGUCGGGGGCUCAACCCUCGAAUGCCGGUGGAUACUGUCGGGCUAGAGUGCGGAAGAGGCGAGUGGAAUUCCUGGUGUAGCGGUGAAAUGCGCAGAUAGUCAGGAGGAACACCAACGGCGAAGGCAGGUCUCUGGGCCACUACUGACGCUGGAGAAGCGAAAGCAUGGGGAGCGAACAU
rnacentral:rRNA from 1 species